UGUUCAAAAUCUUGCAAGCUGUUCUUUCAUUUAUUUCAUCUUGAUUUAGUUGUUUCAGGUUGGAGGGUAAAUAUCUAUAAGAAGUUGAAGGUCCUAAGAGACUUCUCUCCUUGAGAUACCCUCCUCAUUUGUCUUCCAUAGAAUUUAUAUAUUCUGCUUUUACCUGUUACCUCUGGCUGUUUCUUCUCCAUCUUUCAAAUCUGUAACCCCUAAAGCAGUGGUAAAGAAUCUGCCUGCCAAUCAGGAGGCACAAAAGAUGCAUGUUCAAUACCUUGGUGGGGAAGAUCCCCUGGAAGAGGGCAUGGCAACCCACUCCAGUAUUCUUACCUGGAGAAGAUAUUAAAAGAUAUUCUUGUCUGGAUUUCUGGAGCUUAGAAGCCCAAGAUCAAGGUGCUGGAAAAUUCUGUUUCUGAUUAUGGGGAUUGUACAUGUAUUCUGCACUGACCUUGAAACAGAUUGUCAAAAAGGAAUGGGAACGAGAAUAAUGAGUUCUGUGAAUUGUAAACUGCAUAUUCCAUGUUUUGUCUGCAUAAUGAAAAAAGAGUCAUCUUCAGAAAAAAGAUCGUCACAAGUUCCAUUCUGGGUGACGUCUGAGAUCCUGACUCAGGAUGUAAACUAGGAGGGUCCAGGUCAUGGUGACAGUAACCGAAGUUAUUAGAUUUAUUAAUGUAUUAGUCAUCC
ensembl:lncRNA